rnacentral:rRNA from 1 species
GUCUGGAACCACCUGAUCCCAUCCCGAACUCAGAAGUGAAACAGACCUGCGCCGAUGGUAGUGUGGCGUUGCCCAUGUGAGAGUAGGUCAUCGUCAGGC